UGAGAAUGAACUCCCGAGUACACUGCUUGCAGCCCGUGACUGGAAUGUUAAUUUCGUCCUGCGUCCCCGGCUGGCUCCCUUCAACGACAAUCUUCCUUUGAAGACGUGGAUGACAUAGUAAAACCGAUUGCACUUGAGAGCCGAUUCCAUGACUAUUUUGCUGCAACAGCUCAACAGCCUUUUGUUCCAGAGCGUGUUACGGUUUCACAGAGGAGAGGGAGACUCGAGGCUGCAUGACUUGGUAUCACCUUGGAGAGGAUGAAUUUGUUUGAACGAGACUUGCAGGUGUUCUCUUGGAAAACUUCAAAACUCAACAGGGCUGCGAGACAGGAGCAUUCUGCAAAUUUCAGCUGCUUCACUAGCUUCUCCUGUUUGUUGCUGAACCGAUUAUCCUGUUCUGCACUUGUUCCGCGGAAGAAUCCCGAGUCCCAUCUUCUGCCUCGCUCGGACCUGAUAUUUGUUCUUUAUUCUCCUAAAGCGGUUAAUGAAAAAUUCACUCCCAGAAGUGAACGACUUUUACCUAGUUUGGGGCCUGUGCUCCUGAUAGAAUAUGAGGAGGACUAG
rnacentral:lncRNA from 1 species